rnacentral:rRNA from 1 species
GACGAACGCUGGCGGCGUGCUUAACACAUGCAAGUCGAACGGAAAGGCCCUGCUUUUGUGGGGUGCUCGAGUGGCGAACGGGUGAGUAACACGUGAGUAACCUGCCCUUGACUUUGGGAUAACUUCAGGAAACUGGGGCUAAUACCGGAUAGGAGCUCCUGCUGCAUGGUGGGGGUUGGAAGGUUUCGGCGGUUGGGGAUGGACUCGCGGCUUAUCAGCUUGUUGGUGGGGUAGUGGCUUACCAAGGCUUUGACGGGUAGCCGGCCUGAGAGGGUGACCGGCCACAUUGGGCCUGAGAUACGGCCCAGACUCCUACGGGAGGCAGCAGUGGGGAAUAUUGCACAAUGGGCGGAAGCCUGAUGCAGCGACGCCGCGUGCGGGAUGACGGCCUUCGGGUUGUAAACCGCUUUCGCCUGUGACGAAGCGUGAGUGACGGUAAUGGGUAAAGAAGCACCGGCUAACUACGUG